rnacentral:tRNA from 1 species
AGGGAUAUAACUCAGCGGUAGAGUGUCACCUUAACGUGGUGGAAGUCAUCAGUUCGAGUCUGAUUAUCCCUA